rnacentral:rRNA from 1 species
GAAUGCUGACAUAAGUAACGAUAAAGCGGGUGAAAAGCCCGCUCGCCGGAAGACCAAGGGUUCCUGUCCAACGUUAAUCGGGGCAGGGUGAGUCGACCCCUAAGGCGAGGCCGAAAGGCGUAGUCGAUGGGAAACGGGUUAAUAUUCCCGUACUUGGUGUUACUGCGAAGGGGGGACGGAGAAGGCUAUGUUGGCCGGGCGACGGUUGUCCCGGUUUAAGCGUGUAGGUGUGUGUUCCAGGUAAAUCCGGUUCACUUUAACACUGAGGCGUGACGACGAGGCACUACGGUGCUGAAGCAACAAAUGCCCUGCUUCCAGGAAAAGCCUCUAAGCAUCAGGUAACAUCAAAUCGUACCCCAAACCGACACAGGUGGUCAGGUAGAGAAUACCAAGGCGCUUGAGAGAACUCGGGUGAAGGAACUAGGCAAAAUGGUGCCGUAACUUCGGGAGAAGGCACGCUGACACGUAGGUGAAGUGAUUUACUCAUGGAGCUGAAGUCAGUCGAAGAUACCAGCUGGCUGCAACUGUUUAUUAAAAACACAGCACUGUGCAAACACGAAAGUGGACGUAUACGGUGUGACGCCUGCCCGGUGCCGGAAGGUUAAUUGAUGGGGUCAGCGCAAGCGAAGCUCCUGAUCGAAGCCCCGGUAAACGGCGGCCGUAACUAUAACGGUCCUAAGGUAGCGAAAUUCCUUGUCGGGUAAGUUCCGACCUGCACGAAUGGCGUAAUGAUGGCCAGGCUGUCUCCACCCGAGACUCAGUGAAAUUGAACUCGCUGUGAAGAUGCAGUGUACCCGCGGCAAGACGGAAAGACCCCGUGAACCUUUACUAUAGCUUGACACUGAACAUUGAGCCUUGAUGUGUAGGAUAGGUGGGAGGCUUUGAAGUGUGGACGCCAGUCUGCAUGGAGCCGACCUUGAAAUACCACCCUUUAAUGUUUGAUGUUCUAACGUGGACCCGUUACCCGGGUUGCGGACAGUGUCUGGUGGGUAGUUUGACUGGGGCGGUCUCCUCCUAAAGAGUAACGGAGGAGCACGAAGGUUGGCUAAUCCUGGUCGGACAUCAGGAGGUUAGUGCAAUGGCAUAAGCCAGCUUGACUGCGAGCGUGACGGCGCGAGCAGGUGCGAAAGCAGGUCAUAGUGAUCCGGUGGUUCUGAAUGGAAGGGCCAUCGCUCAACGGAUAAAAGGUACUCCGGGGAUAACAGGCUGAUACCGCCCAAGAGUUCAUAUCGACGGCGGUGUUUGGCACCUCGAUGUCGGCUCAUCACAUCCUGGGGCUGAAGUAGGUCCCAAGGGUAUGGCUGUUCGCCAUUUAAAGUGGUACGCGAGCUGGGUUUAGAACGUCGUGAGACAGUUCGGUCCCUAUCUGCCGUGGGCGCUGGAGAACUGAGGGGGGCUGCUCCUAGUACGAGAGGACCGGAGUGGACGCAUCACUGGUGUUCGGGUUGUCAUGCCAAUGGCACUGCCCGGUAGCUAAAUGCGGAAGAGAUAAGUGCUGAAAGCAUCUAAGCACGAAACUUGCCCCGAGAUGAGUUCUCCCUGAGACUUAGAGUCUCCUGAAGGAACGUUGAAGACGACGACGUUGAUAGGCCGGGUGUGUAAGCGCAGC